GGUGAGGUAACGGCUCACCAAGGCAUUGACGGGUAGCUAGUCUGAGAGGACGAAUAGCCACACUGGGACUGAGACACGGCCCAGACUCCUACGGGAGGCAGCAGUGGGGAAUCUUGCACAAUGGGCGAAAGCCUGAUGCAGCGACGCCGCGUGGGGGAUGAAGGCCCUAGGGUCGUAAACCCCUUUCAGUGGGGACGAAACUGACGGUACCCACAGAAGAAGGUCCGGCCAACUAUGUGCCAGCAGCCGCGGUAAGACGUAGGGACCGAGCGUUAUCCGGAUUUAUUGGGCGUAAAGAGCUCGUAGGCGGUUGCGUAAGUCGGAUGUGAAAACUUGAGGCUCAACCUCGAGACGCCAUCCGAUACUGCGCUGACUUGAAUCCAGUAGGGGAGUGUGGAAUUUGUUGUGUAGCGGUGAAAUGCGCAGAUAUGACAAGGAACACCUAUGGCGAAGGCAGCACUCUGGGCUGGUAUUGACGCUGAGGAGCGAAAGCAUGGGUAGCAAACAGGAUUAGAUACCCUGGUAGUCCAUGCCGUAAACGGUGGGCACUAGGUGUGGGGACUUUCAACGGUUUCCGUGCCGAAGCUAACGCAUUAAGUGCCCCGCCU
rnacentral:rRNA from 1 species